UGCUUUGGACCAGGACUAAUCCGGAGAGA
rnacentral:piRNA from 1 species